rfam:Fusarium poae strain 2516 chromosome FPOA_1 Chr1, whole genome shotgun sequence.
GCGUAAUUGGUUUAGUGGUAAAAUUCUCCGUUGCCAUCGGGGAGCCCUGGGUUCGAUUCCCAGAUUACGCA